rnacentral:rRNA from 1 species
UGAGGCCGACAGGCGUAGGCGAUGGAUAACAGGUUGAUAUUCCUGUACCACCUAGCAUCGUUUUAAUCGAUGGGGGGACGCAGUAGGAUAGGCGAAGCGUACGAUUGGAUUGUACGUCUAAGCAGUGGGAUUGAGUGUUAGGCAAAUCCGGCACUCUUAAGAUUGAGCUGUGAUGGGGAGAGGAAAUUGUUUCCUCGAGUCGUUGAUUUCACACUGCCGAGAAAAGCCUCUAGAUAGAUAAUAGGU